rnacentral:rRNA from 1 species
AGCGAGCUUGCCUAGAUGAUUUUAGUGCUUGCACUAAAUGAAACUAGAUACAAGCGAGCGGCGGACGGGUGAGUAACACGUGGGUAACCUGCCCAAGAGACUGGGAUAACACCUGGAAACAGAUGCUAAUACCGGAUAACAACACUAGACGCAUGUCUAGAGUUUGAAAGAUGGUUCUGCUAUCACUCUUGGAUGGACCUGCGGUGCAUUAGCUAGUUGGUAAGGUAACGGCUUACCAAGGCAAUGAUGCAUAGCCGAGUUGAGAGACUGAUCGGCCACAUUGGGACUGAGACACGGCCCAAACUCCUACGGGAGGCAGCAGUAGGGAAUCUUCCACAAUGGACGAAGGUCUGAUGGAGCAACGCCGCGUGAGUGAAGAAGGGUUUCGGCUCGUAAAGCUCUGUUGGUAGUGAAGAAAGAUAGAGGUAGUAACUGGCCUUUAUUUGACGGUAAUUACUUAGAAAGUCACGGCUAACUACGUGCCAGCAGCCGCGGUAAUACGUAGGUGGCAAGCGUUGUCCGGAUUUAUUGGGCGUAAAGCGAGUGCAGGCGGUUCAAUAAGUCUGAUGUGAAAGCCUUCGGCUCAACCGGAGAAUUGCAUCAGAAACUGUUGAACUUGAGUGCAGAAGAGGAGAGUGGAACUCCAUGUGUAGCGGUGGAAUGCGUAGAUAUAUGGAAGAACACCAGUGGCGAAGGCGGCUCUCUGGUCUGCAACUGACGCUGAGGCUCGAAAGCAUGGGUAGCGAACAGGAUUAGAUACCCUGGUAGUCCAUGCCGUAAACGAUGAGUGCUAAGUG